AGUUGGUCCAAGGAUUGUGGGUUAUUGUUAAACUGUUUAACAUUGUCUCUCACCCCCAACCAUACUUGACUAGCUUCAC
ensembl:misc_RNA Y_RNA Y RNA